rnacentral:rRNA from 1 species
AUACGGGGGGUGCAAGCGUUGUCCGGAAUCAUGGGGCGUAAAGGGUUCGUAGGUGGAAUUAUAAGUCUGGUGUGAAAGCCCACAGCUCAACUGUGGAACUGCACUGGAUACUGUUUUUCUUGAGUUAUAGAGGGGUUUGUGGAAUUUCUGGUGUAGAGGUGAAAUUUGUAGAGAUCAGAAAGAACACCGGUGGCGAAGGCGACAAACUGGCUAUUAACUGACACUGAGGAACGAAAGCGUGGGGAGCGAACAGGAUUAGAAACCCUAGUAGUCC